GCAAUCUUGACUGUGUAUACUUUAAAGCCUAGACAUUUGAAGUCAUGGCAGGCAGGCCCUCUAAAGCCUUGAACAACUAACAAAGUGCCGUACCCUUUCCUAGCCGGAAGCUAUGAAGGAAUUUGUGUGAUUAAAAGACAGACUCCGACAAAUCAGUUGCCAACACAACUGAUCAGUAAUGAAGGGCUAUUAUUUUCCUCUCCUUUUGGCCAAGCAAUCCCGGGUGGGUACUUCUAAAAUAUUGCUCUGCUUUAGUUAAUGUCUCCUUAUAUUUGAGUCUCUAGCCAGCGAGAGUUUAAAACAAAACUCCAAAUGGGCAUGUUAAUCAGUGGCUCUAGACUCAUGGUAGGUGCACACUGUGUGAUAAUUUGUAUUCAGUGCUGGAUGAAAGUGCAGUUUUGAGGUGCCGUACAUACCGACAACAUCCCGCUGCAUAUUUUUAAAAUGCACAUUUUUUUCAAGGUGAGGAAGGAACUACACAUGUGCAAGUGUGGUGAGGUGUUGCACCAUUUAUUCCAGCGCUUAGGGGGUGUGACUAGACUACAUGAAUGGAGGGGAGUAGAGAACAUCGCUGUUCACUGCUUCUUAAACACUCCUCCUACCUGUAUGUACAGAUAGCACAGAGACUAACUCCCGCUUUAGGCAACGUUGCUGUGCAAAGCUAUGUACAAUGGCAAAGUGCUACGUACAAAAGCACUCUGUGGAAUUACAAGCCCUGUGCAUUUCAAACCGUACGUGUGCCCAUAGCCUUAAGUGGAUGGUUACAGGCCAAGGGCUGUAUAUGCAGUGGAAAAUGCAAAUGAAAGCUUCCCCCUGCUUUCUUAUUUAGCUUCCAUCCUAGAACUAAAGUUGCCACCCAGCUAGGUGUUUAGCCCACAGCUAAUGUUAAGCCAAUAGUCAUCUUAAGGUUUAUGUGCAUUCAAAUAAACUCUACUGUCUGCAUUUAGGAGAUGCAGAAACAAACAGAACGUUCAUCAAGCAAACGUCAAUCCUUUUUUUCCUUUACUUCUCUGCACCUUCCUGAAUAAUGUACACCCACGUGCAUUAUGUUUUGAAAUGUUAAUGUUUCCAUCCCCUUAAUCAGUCUGCCCCAAUGAUUUUUAAGUGGGGAAAGGCUACAACCUGGGGAGAAAAGUGCAGGCUUUCUGUGUGACAAAUAUGAUGAACUGCGAUAAAUGCCUCUUUAGAACCGCAUCUGUUCACAUCAGAGUAUUCUGCCCGCCCACCAGUUUAUUUUAACAAAAGAGCUAGACUUCCAGGGACAAUAAUUUGACACCUAGAGAUGGCUGCUUCCCAUGCUACGUUCUCUUUGUUCACAGUUAAAAAAAACAUAACCCGCAUCAUGGACACAGAUUAAUCCCCAGAGAAUCCAAGCACAGCUCUUUGCUUUCUGCCCCCAAUAUUAGUCCUGUGCUCACAUUAGUGUGCAAGGAGAGAUGCGGCAAUGAAGCAUUGUUAUUUCCUAGCACUUUUAGUAUUCAGUGUGCUUUACAAUCAUCCUCACACCAUCCCUCAAAGGUAGGCCAUUGAAUCUCUCUAGGCAGAAGACUGAAGGCCAUCCUGGGGUGUUUUUAUGUGCAGUAAAUGUGCAUUUGGUUCUGAGUUGCUGCACACUUUCUAUACACAUCGGCUGCACAUUAUAUUUUCCAAGCACUUGACCCAAAUUUAUUUUUUUAUCUUGGGAUAUGCAGAGUGCACACAGUCUAGAAAGGGCAACCUGUGGACUACACAUCCAACCUCCGAUACAAUUUUUUUGUGUAAUCAAGAGUUUAUGAGUUCUGGGCAGCACCAAGGUAGUCCCAUAUUUGGGGUGGGGAUAGACACCAUUUAUUCCUUGAAGCGUCUGCAGGAAUGUAGGACAUAAAUUCGCAGAUAAAAUAAACUGCCCCCAAGCAUGGACAGCUUACACCCUGCCAAGUACUAGACUCCUAAAGGGUAACAGAGCCACGCCUCCUGGGUAGUAAAAAUGUUCUGCCUCGUGACAUUCAUAGAUGAACUGCCACCACCUGCCUAGUCUUCAUUACUUGGGUGAUAAAGCACAUGGCCCCCCAAACUGGCCAUCUCUAGUCUAAAAUAUAUUGCCUCCAAAGGUCAAUGUAAGAAGACUGCUCUGGAGGUACACAUACACACACACACCUGGAAAAGUCACAGGCAUAUGAGUACCUGAAAAAGCAAAGUAAUGGAAGGCAAAGUAUGUUCAUAUUCUGGGACCAGCUGGUAUUAAUAUUGCUAAUAAAAAUCAACAGAGCUUCCUGGAGCUGAGCAGGAUUCAGCCCUCUAUUUGAUUUGUAGUGGGAGUGUAGAAGAGUACUGUAUCUGGGAACCAUAUGGAUCACCUAAAUAUAAUGGGGGAAGAGAGGAACCACUGACAUGGAACUGAAAUAUGAGCAAUUCAGAUUCUAAUCCACUCCUUUGCUGUUGGAAAUGUUAAUUUACAGUGAGUUAAAAUACUAGAUUUUCUUUGGAGUGUUUUUAGAUUAAUGAAAAAUAGCAAGCUAGGAACUGUUGCUGUUGGAAACAAUAUUAGAAACCUUAAUCAUGUCCGUAGAUAUGUGUACAUGUCUCUCUCUCUCUCCUUAUUGCUUGUUUAUUGAAAAAUAAAAAUUAGUUUGGGCAA